rnacentral:rRNA from 1 species
AUGCCGCGGCCGCGCCCAAAAGAAGGCCUGGGCAUGAUCGUUGCCAUGAACGCGGCCAUGGAGGUGUCGGGGUGUGUCCGCGACGCGCUCGCGACGAUUCUCUCCGAGGAGCCCCGGCCGGCGUGCCUUGUAAUCGACACCUUCCUCCCAGCUGCGCAGAGGGCGGCGGCCGAGCUAGGCCUGCCGACGAUCGUGCUGCAAACCAGCAGCGCGGCAGCCGUCCGCUUGUUUAGGUCCAACGCCAUGCUCCACGAGAAGGGAUACUUGCCAGCGCAAGAGCAUGAACUAAACAAGCCGGUGACGGAGCUGCCGCCGGUACGAGUCUCGGACUUGUUCGACCCUAGCAAAUACCCCAACCAAGAAACGGCGAGGAAGAUCCUGGACAUGGCCACCGAACCUACAACGGGCUCCUCGGGGAUCGUAAUCAACACAUUCGAAGCUCUCGAGACCCCCGAACUGGAGGCGAUCCGGGACGAGCUCGCUGCCAGCGGCAUCAGCGUCUUCGCCAUCGGUCCACUCCACAAGCUCUCCACCAUCGGCGGCGCCGGCAGCCUGCUCGAGCAGGACCGAAGCUGCGUCGAGUGGCUGGACACGCAGGCCGCAGGUUCCGUGCUGUACGUGAACGUGAGCUUCGGGAGCGUGGCUCCGGUGCACCGAGACGACUUCAACGAGGUUGCUUGGGGCCUCGCGAGCAGCGGCAAGCCUUUUCUGUGGGUCGUUCGUCGUGGCCUCGUCCUCGGCUCCGAGGAUGCAGAGCUGCCGGAAGGGUUCGAGCGAGGUGAGGGGCAGGGGCAAGGUGGUCAGGUGGGCGCCGCAGCAGGACGUGCUAGCGCAUCGUGCGGUGGGCGGAUUCUGGACGCACGGUGGCUGGAACUCGACGCUGGAGAGUAUCUGCGAGGGGGUCCCGAUGUUGUGCAGCCCUUUCUUCGGAGAUCAGCUGGCGAACGGGAGGUACGUGGAGGACGUGUGGGAGAUAGGGACCUUGUUGGUGGGUAA